rnacentral:lncRNA from 1 species
UCUGUCGAUGGUCGCACAGUCUCGGAGUCGACUCGCGUACUGCGGGAGUCGACUCGAAUCUCAGAGUCCAUAAAACGCUCUCUGACUUUUUCUGUGUGUACCGCUGGGAGUCGACUCGCAUUCUACUGGAGUCGACUCGAAUCUCAGACCUGAAAAACUGCUCUUCUGUCCUUCUGUCUGUUUUCAGUCGGAGUCGACUCGUACUGAUCAGGAGUCGACUCGAGCUCGUGCCAGUGACCUUGAUACGCUUGGAGUCGACUCGUAA